rnacentral:lncRNA from 1 species
CUGUCACUGAUACUUCAUGCUCCCGUCAGAGGACAUGCUAUAGUGGGUUUAAGUGGAAAUGGAACUUGGGAGAUGAGUCCUUUUUUUUUUCUUCCUUUUUUAUAUUUGAAAUUGGGAAGCCUGGACUUACCAUUCACUAAUAUUGACUAUGUGUAACUGGAGUCUAAUUCUCAUGAAAAGCAUCAUCUUUGCCACUUUGUCAUCUGGGUCUCUCCUGGUUAAGUCUUGAUUACCAUCUCAGCCCUUCUUAGACUAUGGCUGCAAUGACCCAUGCCUUGCGUCCCUGGGCCCUAUCGGUACCCAGGGCUUGCUGGUUACAUGCAAAGCGGAGCUUGUCUUUAUUUUGUCUUCAACUUUUCUCAAGGGGUUGAAGUGGAAGUGGCCAUAUGAAGUUGCAUAUGCCCUGCAGGAAAAGACAGGCCCAGGCUGGUGAGCUUUCCUGGAGGGCUGAUGGGGCCAGGACUUCUGCAAAGACACUGCUUUGAAGAAGUAUUCCUGUCAAAGCAUGUGAGGACCGUCCCAGCCCUGGCCUGUCACAUGUCACCUCCUGUUAUCAGACAGCAAGCAGUAGGUAUGCUCCUCCUCUUAUUCUCAUUGUCACUGUGGGCUCAAGUUCCAUAGCUAUGACAUUCCAUAUAUAUAUAUGAUGUUCCCACCACCACCGCCAUCCC